CCUAAAGUCUUUAACACA
rnacentral:tRNA from 1 species